AGGGAGAGACACACCAUCAAUCAAUUUAGUGGGUGUGUGUGGUCCAUUUACUAUGAUACUCCAUAUAUCAUAGUCAAGUGCUUAAAUAAAAAUUUUCAUUCAAGCUUUUCAAUAGGUGUAGUUUGACCCAUUGAAAAGUGAAGGUUGGUUUGUGGAUUGCCCCUCGGCUAGGGAUGUGUCAAAUUAGGCUGCCAUUGACCU
rnacentral:lncRNA from 1 species